GUAAAAAACCUCUAAACAAUUAAUCAUACUUCAGAUAGUAAAACCGAUAGAUCUUCAAAUCCUAAUUACUUAACAGCUUCUUUUUUGACAGGAAAGUGGGCACAUAAAGUUCUUUUAAAAUCUGGACAAAAGUUCCUGGAAAAGUAAUCUAUUGCUAUACUUUUAUUAUGAAAGCCUAAUUAGUGCAAAAGUUAGUUCCCUGCUGGAUCUAUAUAUGCCACUGUAUGCCUUUUUCCUCUACUGGUCUGUAGUUCUCAGGCUGCAAUUAGGCCCCUACUCCUUCAGCUAAAAACAAACCCAGAGAGACCUUUUGCGCAGAGAGGAGAGAGACUUCCUCAAGAAGAACUUUAUAUCAAUUGCUCAGGAUCUCAUCCUCUAGAGACUGGUGUGGUGGAUGACAGCAACACGAGCAGAGGUUUAUGAUGGCUCUUCCAGUACCUAUGGAAGAUGAUUCA